GCACUGCUGUGGAGUCCCACAAGAGGACGAAAUGGCCGUCCAGUGC
rfam:Schistosoma mansoni strain Puerto Rico chromosome 6, complete genome